rnacentral:rRNA from 1 species
AUGCCCUUCUCCUAUCUUGGGAUCCCGCUUACGUUGCAACGCCCUACUGCCGCGCAACUCCAGCCCUUAGUGGAUCGCACCGCCGGCUGCCUCCCAUUCUGGAAAGCCCACCUGAUGAAUUGCGCCGGCCGUCUCGCCCUUGUCAAAUCCGUCCUGGGCAUGAUUCCGAUACACCAGCUCCUCGUGUUCGCCCCGCCACAGAAGAUUCUCAGGCAGUUCAAAAAGAUACAUCGCGAUUUUCUCUGGGCCGGACGCGCCGCCGCCAACGGCGGCCACUGCCACGUUAAUUGGCGCCGCGUAUGUUGCCCCCUACCCCUUGGCGGCCUGGGGGUCCAGGACCUGCAGCGCACUGGACUCGCCCUUAGGCUGCGUUGGCUUUGGUUCUCUCGCACUGAUGACACCCACGCCUGGUCCGGUCUUGACCUGCAGUUCUCCAUGGAGGAACGGGCCAUAUUUUUUGCGUCGACCUACAUGAUGAUUGGUGAUGGGCUCACUGCCAAAUUCCGGGAAGACCGCUGGAUUGAUGGCCGUUCGAUCAGCGAAAUUGCACCACUCCUGUACGCGUGCAUUCCCAAGAGGCGCAGAAAGCACAUGACCGUGGCUGAGGGCCUCCAGGACCAGGGCUGGGCCCGUGACAUUCAGCGUAUCCUCGGCGUGCACGAGAUCGGGCAGUACCUCAUGCUUUGGCACCUCAUGCUUUGGCAAAAGCUCGAGGGCCUCACGCUCACUGAGGAACCCGAUCGCCUAAUCUGGAAGUGGACCUCGAGCGGCGUCUACACUGCGCAAUCCUGCUACCGCCUCCUUCUCUGGCUCCGUGUGCUGUGA